rnacentral:lncRNA from 1 species
AUGAAAAGUCCCAGGCUACAUGCUGAGGAAACAAGCUGCUUGUUGGAGAACACCUCAAGAGGAGUGUUUCCAGAGAUCUCACCUCCUGGGCUCCUUCUCUGUGAAUCCCCUGCUGAUGAGCAGCACAAGCAAACCUGCAGAGUGGAUUUGAAGCCACCCAGUCCCUUCCUCACUCCAGGUGGGGUGGAGUGGAGCCAUGGAGAGACCCGCUGUCCUGCUCAGGGACCUCGCCUGCUCCUCAGCUUUCACAGUGAUAACCCAUUCUCUCUGGCGCCUUGGUGCAGCUGAAGAGGCAAGCACUAUAUAAAUGCUAAACAGAUGAGGCCGUGCUUGUCCCAGGAAUAAAUAGACCAUCCGCUCCCGCUGUCAAUUCUGUACCUUUCAUGAACACAGACACAUCUCCCAAGAAGGGGAAAAUGUUGGUGUCACUUCUCCAUUUAUUUUUGUGAUUUUCUCUCAAUUAUGGCAGCAAAAUGUUGUGGGUUUUUUUUUGUUGAUUUGUGUGUGUGUGCGCACGUGUGUGUAUCUGUGUGUGUGUAUGUGUAUGUGUAUGUAUGUGUUAUUGAUUUUUUUUUCAGAAGGACUUUAUGGUUUGUUAUUUUAAUUUCCUGAAUUCACAUUCAGAAAAUGGGAUGUUUUCUUCUGAUUGCCCUUCCAAAAUAACAAUAAUAACCAUAAUUUGUAUAGUGCUCUCUCAGGCCUUAUCUCAUCAAAAUUUAUUAGGCCUGGACUCAGAUGAAAUGGAUUCCUGUCUUGAUUUCACUGUCUACUUGCUGUGUGACCUUGAAUACCUGACUUGGCCUCUCUGAGUCCUAGUUGUUUUAUUUGUAUAAUGAGCAUCAUGAGAGACCUGUUAUUCUUAGCACAAAUGCUUGUGAGAGGAGUAAAUAGGAUAAUUUAUAUGAAAACUUGAGAUAGGUAUUGAUUUUUAGAUGAGAAAUUUGAGGCACAGAGAAGCUAAGUAGCUCACUCCAAGUGUUAUAGCUUAUAAGCAUCAGAGGACACAUAUAAACACAGGUCUUCUGACAGCAAGUGAUCUAUCCAUGAACCUGCAGCUUUGAGUGAUGACUGAGACUUGGACAGAUGGACAUGGAAACCAAUAUUACAAAAUAGAAUCACAGCGUUUAUUAACACUACAUAUCAGCCACGAUCAUUCUAAGAAUUUUUCUGAAUGAACUCAUCUAGUCCUUACAAUAACCCUAUAAAGCUAUCAAUAUCCCCGUCAUGUUCAUUUUACAGAGAUUAAGUCAUUUCCCCAAGAUCACAGGAUCAGUAAGUGGAAUUACCUAAAUCUGCCCACAGACUGGCUUCAGGACCUGUGUCAUUAAACAUACAGCAUCCUGCUUCUCUCAGAUCACUCCUGUUUGGCUACCGCAGGUCAGGGCAGACCUUUUUCCAAAUCAACUCCAGAGGAGGCUGGGACUCACCUGACCUCUAGGAACCUUUAAAAGGAGGAGGAGACUGGGGUACAGGAGUAUUGGGACAUUUCCCUCUGGAAACUCACUGCAAGCCCUGUCCUGGGUCUUAACUCUCUAGGGCAGUGAUUCUCACACUUGGGCACAUCAGAGUCCCUUGGAGUGCUUGUUACAAGGCAGAUGGCUGGGCUCCAUCCCUGGAACUUCCAUUCUUUCAACCUGGGUGGGACCUGAAAAUCUGCGUUUCUAACAAAUUUUUAGGUGACGUGGAUGCUGCUACCCAGGGACGGCGUUUUGGCAAACAACACCCAAAAUGAUAAACCAUGGGAGGACAUCUGGGUCCCAGGUUCAGGCGUCUCUGAACAGCCCCGAUCUGAAUAAGAAAGAACUUUAUCUGGACCCUAGAAAAGCCCAAAGCCCACUGGCCGGGUCUCUGUGAAAACGUUUAGCGCUCAAAAGAGCUGGGGCGUCCUCCGCUUGGGUGCUCCCUGGGGCUGGCCGUGGGCUGCGGGCUGAGGGCAGUGGGCUCUGCGUUACGGAUGGAUGCGCUCCGAAGCCCCCGCUGCAGAUAAAGUCAACACACAGCCGCUGCAGCGGUGGGAAAGCCCGGGACCAGGCCACCCAGCCCUCCCAGACAGAACCUUUCCUUCAGCUGUUGUUUUCCUCUGCUGCUGCCUUCUCAUCGCCUUGUACUGACAAUAGUCGUAAAUAACCGCAGUGCUGUAGAGAAAUCAUUUUAACAGGAGAGAGUCAAAUAAAUACAUUAGACCUGACAGCUUAACUACGCGGA